CUGCUUCAGGAGGAAGCUUCUCAGAGAUGACUGGAUAAGGCGCUGAUCUAGAAUCUGAAGAACUCCAGCAAUGUCCGAGAGCAGCAGAACCAGAAAGGAGCCCACACAUCUCACUCAAUUUGGGUCUCCUUAGUGGCACCUUGAUGCCCUUUGGGGUGUCAGUGUGGCAGUUGUACCUCAAACACCUCUAAAGUUGCCAGCACGAAAUCAGCAUGGAGAAGGCAGGUAUUCUGCCUCACGAUGGCCCAGAACCCACAGAUCCAAACACUGCCCACAGAGACCUCUAAGACUAGAACAGAAGAAGUGCUUAUGAGUGCUGCCAUGCCCUGUCCAUGCCGAAGAAUAUGCCAGAAUCAGGCAGAGGAGGUCCCUCCCACUCUUGGGGAAACAUUCUUGGCAUUUAAAACCAAUAAUGAAUGUGCAUGGAAACAAGAAAAGAGUGAUGUGUGCCAGGAACAUGAAGAGCAAAAAUGAUAGUAUCCAGGGGACUGAAGACAAGAACAGUCUCCGCUAAGUGGUCCAGACCAGCAGCCCCAGAAGGAACAGGAGCCAGAUGAGUAUCUGCUGGAGGGAGGUGCAUGGCAGGGACUGGAUCAGGGGUAGCUCUCCUAAGCUGGGACAUUGUUUGGGGCUUAUGGUAAGGACGGGGCAAGCCAGAGGGAGGGAGAGAGUCUAUAGUAGGGAUAUGCCACCAUAUUCGAUUCCCAAAUGCUUCCUGGGAUUCCAAGCUAAGGAAAUAUUUUGUCUGUGCUUGCUCUUAGGACCCAAAGAGACUGUGAAUGGGACACAACAUUGUCAGCCAGCCCCAGUUCUGUGUGCCCAUCAGUGUAUAGUGAGGCCACUCAGCUGCCAGCAGCUUCACAGAGCCCUGAGCCCUGGGAACACCACAGUGACC